GGAUAAAGAAAAGACAACCAGAGCAGAGAUGAAAAAGACCGAAAGGGGAUGCAAGCACCCAGGAGAGUGGACUGAGAAGUUCUAGGGGCAAGCCGGCGUGCAGAAAGAGGACCAGAUUCCUGGGGUCAGUAACUAAGGAUGACAAUGGAGGACCCCAAGGGGCCCUCUGGGACAAAAAUAGGACUGGGAUGCACUAUCUCAGAAACUGGAUGCAGGAGCUCAAGGAAAACACCUUAGCACCGGGGUUUCCAUGUCCCCAGCACUUCUCACGCUCAGUGUUUUAACUCUCAUUUCCAGACAAUGUAAUAACAUAG
rnacentral:lncRNA from 1 species